rnacentral:rRNA from 1 species
GACAGGUGGUGCAUGGUUGUCGUCAGCUCGUGUCGUGAGAUGUUGGGUUAAGUCCCGCAACGAGCGCAACCCUUAUCCUCAGUAGCCAGCAGUAAGAUGGGCACUCUGGGGAGACUGCCAGGGAUAACCUGGAGGAAGGUGGGGAUGACGUCAAAUCAUCAUGCCCCUUAUGAUUUGGGCUACACACGUGCUACAAUGGCGUAAACAAAGGGAAGCGAAGCCGCGAGGCGGAGCAAAUCCCAAAAAUAACGUCUCAGUUCGGAUUGCAGGCUGCAACUCGCCUGCAUGAAGCUGGAAUCGCUAGUAAUCGCGGAUCAGCAUGCCGCGGUGAAUACGUUCCCGGGUCUUGUACACACCGCCCGUCACACCAUGGGAGUCGAUAACGCCCGAAGUCAGUGACCUAACCGCAAGGAAGGAGCUGCCGAAGGCGGGAUUGAUAACUGGGGUGAAGUCGUAACAAGGUAGCCGUAUCGG